AUAUUUGCCGAAAUAUAUUUAAUAAUGUUUUUAUAAUACGAAUAUUGAAUUUAAAUAGUUUAAAAAACGCUCCUGCCGCUUUCACUGCUAAUCGUCCAGAAACGCCGAUGGAGCACCCUUCUUUUUCUUGGAUUUCGACUGUCCCGCCUUAGUUUUUGCUUCUGGCUUUUUUCCUGCCUUGACGGCUGCGUUCGGUGUGCAACGAACACGAGCAGAAGGUGUUUUGGUCUUCUUGCCCUUUCGUUGCUUGCUAUUCUUGCCCGGCAGCGGACCCUUUGCCUUCACACAACUUAGUGUCAGGCUGUACGUGUAGCUGGGCCGCCAUCAAAGUCCAUAAUUCACUUUCGCUGUAAUUUUGUUUGUUUUGAUUGGUAUAUUUGCCGAAAUAUAUUUAAUAAUGUUUUUAUAAUACGAAUAUUGAAUUUAAAUAGUUUAAAAAACGCUCCUGCCGCUUUCACUGCUAAUCGUCCAGAAACGCCGAUGUCUUUGCUUCUGGCUUUUUUCCUGCCUUGACGGCUGCGUUCGGUGUGCAACGAACACGAGCAGAAGGUGUUUUGGUCUUCUUGCCCUUUCGUUGCUUGCUAUUCUUGCCC